rnacentral:rRNA from 1 species
UACGUAGGGGGCAAGCGUUGUCCGGAUUUAUUGGGCGUAAAGAGCGUGUAGGCGGCCUGAAAGGUCAGCUGUGAAAACUCGAGGCUCAACCUCGAGACGUCGGUUGAAACCAUCUGGCUAGAGUCCGGAAGAGGAGUGUGGAAUUCCCGGUGUAGCGGUGAAAUGCGCAGAUAUCGGGAGGAACACCAGUGGCGAAGGCGAUCACCUGGGGUUGUUCUGACGCUGAGGAGCGAAAGCUAGGGGAGCAAACGGG